rnacentral:rRNA from 1 species
AUUGAACGCUGGCGGCAGGCCUAACACAUGCAAGUCGAGCGGAUGAAGGGAGCUUGCUCCUGUAUUCAGCGGCGGACGGGUGAGUAAUGCCUAGGAAUCUGCCUGGUAGUGGGGGAUAACGUCCGGAAACGGGCGCUAAUACCGCAUCCGUCCUUAGGGAGAAAGUGGGGGAUCUUCGGACCUCACGCUAUCAGAUGAGCCUAGGUCGUAUUAGCUAGUUGGUUGGGUAAAGGCCUACCAAGGCGACGAUCCGUAACUGGGCUGGGAGGAUGAUCAGUCACACUGGAACUGAGACACGGUCCAGACUCCUACGGGAGGCAGCAGUGGGGAAUAUUGGACAAUGGGCGAAAGCCUGAUCCAGCCAUGCCGCGUGUGUGAAGAAGGUCUUCGGAUUGUAAAGCACUUUAAGUUGGGAGGAAGGGCAGUAAGUUAAUCCCUUGAUGUUUUGACGUUACCAACAGAAUAAGCACCGGCUAACUUCGUG